UACGAAGGGGGCUAGCGUUGCUCGGAAUCACUGGGCGUAAAGGGCGCGUAGGCGGCCGAUUAAGUCGGGGGUGAAAGCCUGUGGCUCAACCACAGAAUUGCCUUCGAUACUGGUUGGCUUGAGACCGGAAGAGGACAGCGGAACUGCGAGUGUAGAGGUGAAAUUCGUAGAUAUUCGCAAGAACACCAGUGGCGAAGGCGGCUGUCUGGUCCGGUUCUGACGCUGAUGCACGAAAGCUAGGGGAGCAAACAGG
rnacentral:rRNA from 1 species